UAGGCAACUGAGGAAGCUCAACAUCUAAAAAAGUUGAUACAAGACUAUAUUGCUUCUUUCAUCAAAGUAGGAGAUAAGGCAACUGAGGAAGCUCAACAUCUAAAAAAGUUGAUACAAGACUAUAUUGCUUCUUUCAUCAAAGUAGGAGAUAAGAUGGAUCAUCGUUUGUGGAUGUAUAAUAUGCAUUAUGAAACUGGUGCUGGUUUGAAACCUGAGUUUAUUGACGAUGUUAGAAAUUUUAUUGAACAUACAAUGACACUUGACAUUUUCAAGAAUAAUGGAUUGGUUAGGUGUCCUUGUAGUGCAUG